AGGGGAAGUGAAAAAUACAUAUACUUUAAGGCCCAAGAACAUGCGGUUUUGGAGUUAACAGUGGCAGCCAAAAAAGCCUUGAGAGAAGAACAUCAAAGAAUACAAACUAAAGAGAAUUGAAAGAGCAACAGGCUCAUUAUCUGGCAGCAAGUCUAUUCUUUGGGGAGUGUGGAAUCAAGAAAACAGCACAGAUUUCUCAGCCAGAACACCGUUACUUGCUAGCUGUGGCCCCUGCACAAGCUCUUUGACCUCAGAACCUGUUUCCUCAAACAUCAGCCAGAGUUCCCAGUUGCAAGAACUGCAUCAACUCUGGCUACAUCAAUCAGAACUGGAAUUGACUGAAGAAAUAUUGCUGGCUCCGAGAAUUA
rnacentral:lncRNA from 1 species